CAUACAUGCCCAUUUGACAAAGGCAUUGAAAGUCAUUUGCACCCGAUACUAAUCACGUCUCUUUCCCAAAUCCUGUAAAAACUUAGAUACGCAACUUUGGUUUUGGAAUUAAGAAAUGUUGGCUGGAAUUUGCAGAUCACAAAAGAAAAUAAUGAUGGAGUGAAAAGUGUGCCAUGGUGGAUGUCUUGUUGCUACAAGGACAUCUUGAACUAACUUAAACGCAAGGAGGAGGUUCUAUGGUUGUCGAAAAAUAAGAAACAAAUGAGAAAAGGAUGUGGAUCCUUUGAAUGGAUAGAUCCACUGAUAUGUCCCCGCUCAACACAAGUAAUUCUUGGAUUACUAAGAGCAAUGUUUGAAUUGGAGGAUGACAAACUUAGAUUGAAGAAGAUAUGUGUAGGAUGACAAACUAAGGAACCUAAAAAUGCUAUGGUGCCUGUGGCGAGCUGCUGGCCAACAGCAAAAGCACCUAAAAGUGUGUGAAAGGAAAGAAAGGAAGAGAAGCUGGAGUUGGUUUAGGGAUUUAGGAAAGAAAGGAAGAAAGGAACAGUACUACUAGAGCUGCUGGGCAAAAACAGAAGGAGAAAAUACGGUUUUUUUUUUUUUUCGAAAAUAGCUGCCAACGCACCGUUUAAUUAAAAGGGUCAAAUGAUGGACGGAAAAGAGAAAUUGCUGGUUUUUUUUUUUUUUUUUUUAUUAAAUGGGUGCUUGCAAAGAAGACCUUCUUUUCAUUAAUGAAGACACGUGGUGGUGCAGGAAGACCAAUGGGUGGAUUUUUUUUUUCAAAAGUGAUGCCAACGCACCUAAACAGAGAAAAGCAACGGACGUUGAAGGUGCAUUCCAUUUUAUGCGCACUAGUCCUUUCUGCAGCAUAACUUUAUAAAGACAAUCUAAAAGUUUACCUUUAUUUUUUUAGUUGGUUCAUUUGCUCUUAAUAUAAUAGUUCGUUGUCCAUUGAGCUGUUGAAAAUAUGUAUAACAUGUUCAAAAAAGCAAGUUAAAAUUAAAUAAAACUGAAACUAGAAUAUCAAUAUAAAACUAGA